rnacentral:rRNA from 1 species
CACGCCCUAAACGAUGUCAACUGGUUGUUGGGUCUUCACUGACUCAGUAACGAAGCUAACGCGUGAAGUUGACCGCCUGGGGAGUACGGCCGCAAGGUUAAAACUCAAAGGAAUUGACGGGGACCCGCACAAGCGGUGGAUGAUGUGGUUUAAUUCGAUGCAACGCGAAAAACCUUACCCACCUUUGACAUGUAUGGAAGAUCGCAGAGACGCGAUUGUGCUCGAAAGAGAGCCAUAACACAGGUGC